AUAGGAGCUGACGCCUGCCCGGUGCUGGAAGGUUAAGGGGAUCUGUUAGAGCAAUCGAAGCAGUGAACUUAAGCCCCAGUAAACGGCGGCCGUAACGAUAACAGUACUAAGGUAGCGAAAUCCCUGGUAGGGGAAGUUCCGACGCGGACGGAAGGAGUAAUGAGUUGGGCACCGGAUCGACAACAGAGUCGGGGAGAUGGGAAUGCCGGUGAAGAUGCCGGAUGCUGGCGACAGGACGGAAAGACCCCAUGGUGCGUUACUGUAGCUUGACAUUGGGUUUUGGGACUACAUGUAGAGGAUAGGUGGGAGGGUUUGAAACCAGGACGCCAGUUUUGGCGGAGCCAUCCUUGGGAUACCACCCUUGUAGUACUGGGACUCUAACC
rnacentral:rRNA from 1 species